AUACGUAGGGGGCGAGCGUUGUCCGGAAUGACUGGGCGUAAAGGGCGUGUAGGCGGCUGUCUAAGUCUGGAGUGAAAGUCCUGCUUUCAAGGUGGGAAUUGCUUUGGAGACUGGAUGGCUUGAGUGCGGAAGAGGUAAGUGGAAUUCCCAGUGUAGCGGUGAAAUGCGUAGAGAUUGGGAGGAACACCAGUGGCGAAGGCGACUUACUGGACUGUAACUGACGCUGAGGCGCGAAAGUGUGGGGAGCAAACAGGAUUAGAUACCCUGGUAGUCCACACUGUAAACGAUGAAUGCUAGGUGUAGGGGGUAUCGACCCCUUCUGUGCCGCAGUCAACACAAUAAGCAUUCCGCCUAGGGAGUACGGCCGCAAGGUUGAAACUCAAAUGAAUUGACGGGG
rnacentral:rRNA from 1 species